UUUACAGCACCACCAAAAAAUGAUGUAAGCACCGGAUUAGGAACUCAGGAAGCUUCUGUCUGUCUUAAGGUCUUACAUCCAGAGCUUGGGGACCAAACUUGUGUUGUCCAUUCCAGAGGCCAAUUCUGAUUAUCCAAAUUGACAUCAAAAGUGUUCAGAUAUCAGAUGUAUUACAGCUAAAGAAUGAAAUUAUUUUGAUCAUUUCACAGCUUUUGCCUACAGUCAACUUUUUAUGUGAAUCAAAGAAUGAAGAGAAAUCAACUUAUUUAUACCCAAGCUGACCAACUGUCAAGAAAGAGAAGACAAGGCAACUCGAUCUGAAGGAAAUUAAAAAAAAAGAUUUUAUUGUUAAAAAACAAUAGAUGUGAA